UACAGAGGUCUCAAGCGUUUGUUCGGAUUCAUUGGGCGUAAAGGGUGCGUAGGCGGCGCGGUAAGUCGGGUGUGAAAUCUUGGAGCUUAACUCCGAAACUGCAUUCGAUACUGCCGUGCUUGAGGACUGGAGAGGAGACUGGAAUUUACGGUGUAGCGGUGAAAUGCGUAGAUAUCGUAAGGAAGACCAGUGGCGAAGGCGGGUCUCUGGGACGGUACUGACGCUGAGACGCGAAAGCGUGGGGAGCGAACAGG
rnacentral:rRNA from 1 species